rnacentral:rRNA from 1 species
GUGGGGAAUAUUGGACAAUGGGCGAAAGCCUGAUCCAGCCAUGCCGCGUGUGUGAAGAAGGUCUUCGGAUUGUAAAGCACUUUAAGUUGGGAGGAAGGGCAGUAAGUUAAUACCUUGCUGUUUUGACGUUACCGACAGAAUAAGCACCGGCUAACUUCGUGCCAGCAGCCGCGGUAAUACGAAGGGUGCAAGCGUUAAUCGGAAUUACUGGGCGUAAAGCGCGCGUAGGUGGUUUUGUAAGUUGGAGGUGAAAUCCCCGGGCUCAACCUGGGAACUGACUCAAAAACUGCAUGACUAGAGUACGGUAGAGGGUAGUGGAAUUUCCUGUGUAGCGGUGAAAUGCGUAGAUAUAGGAAGGAACACCAGUGGCGAAGGCGACUACCUGGACUGAUACUGACACUGAGGUGCGAAAGCGUGGGGAGCAAACAGGAUUAGAAACCCUAGUAGUCC